rnacentral:pre_miRNA from 1 species
CUCCAGGCUUGGUCCAAUGCUCAUUGAAGUCAUGGAGAAUCUUUACACUGACUUCACUGAGCUUUGGACCAGGUUUCAUGAGAA